GUGAAGACAACCUGGCAGCACUGGAUGAGAGCGUCAGAGCUUUUGAGGAGAAUUUCAGGAAGAGCAACUACCUGAAUGUUGAGGCUGGGAAGAGUGUGGGCCAGCAGCUGCUACAGCUGCAAGCAGAGCUGAAACAGGUCAAAGAUGAGAACAAGAAGAUCAUAGAGAAUUACACUGCAGAGCGAACCUUGAGGAAGAAGUACUACAACAUGGUGGAAGAUAUGAAAGGCACAUCAAUUUUCUUAUUCACUUAUCAUCUAGAAACUCAACCUGUCAUGAGGUGAAAUGCAGGAGAUGAACAAAUUUGUUUUCGUAGGAGCCACAGCCAGACAUAACAUGAUCUAAAAUGGCCUGGUCUAAUUUUUAUCUUCAAAUGGCUGUGUUCCAGAGAAUUUUCCAACUUUCCCAGGCAUUCUCUCUGCUUUUUAAUUAUGUGUGAUCGGGUCCAAAAGAAAUACAGGCCAGUGCCAGAACAAGCAGGAGAAUAAACAAGAUAGAGCUUGCUAAUAAAAGCCAGAAUGCGGU
ensembl:lncRNA